AUUGAACGCUGGCGGCAGGCCUAACACAUGCAAGUCGAGCGGAGCGGGGGACGGGGGAGUGAUGGCUAGGAAUCUGCCUGGGAGUGGGGGAUAACGUCCGGAAACGGGCGCGAAUACCGCAUACUAUCAGAUGAGCCUAGGUCGGAUUAGCUAGUUGGUGGGGUAAAGGCCUACCAAGGCGACGAUCCGUAGCUGGUCUGAGAGGAUGAUCAGUCACACUGGAACUGAGACACGGGCCAGACUCCUACGGGAGGCAGCAGUGGGGAAUAUUGGACAAUGGGCGAAAGCCUGAUCCAGCCAUGCCGCGUGUGUGAAGAAGGUCUUCGGAUUGUAAAGCACUUUCAGUUGGGAGGCGUUACCAACAGAGUAAGCACCGGCUAACUUCGUGCCAGCAGCCGCGGUAAUUC
rnacentral:rRNA from 1 species